rnacentral:rRNA from 1 species
AGAGUUUGAUCCUGGCUCAGGACGAACGCUGGCGGCGUGCCUAACACAUGCAAGUCGAGCGGAGAAUGCGGAUAUGUUUACAUAGAAGUAUUCUUAGCGGCGGACGGGUGAGUAACACGUGGGUAACCUGCCUCAAAGUGGGGGAUAGCCUUCCGAAAGGAAGAUUAAUACCGCAUAAGCCUACAGUAUCGCAUGGUACAGCAGGAAAAGGAGCAAUCCGCUUUGAGAUGGACCCGCGGCGCAUUAGCUAGUUGGUGAGGUAACGGCUCACCAAGGCGACGAUGCGUAGCCGACCUGAGAGGGUGAUCGGCCACAUUGGAACUGAGACACGGUCCAGACUCCUACGGGAGGCAGCAGUGGGGAAUAUUGCACAAUGGGCGAAAGCCUGAUGCAGCAACGCCGCGUGAGCGAUGAAGGCCUUCGGGUCGUAGAGCUCUGUCCUCAAGGAAGAUAAUGACGGUACUUGAGGAGGAAGCCCCGGCUAACUACGUGCCAGCAGCCGCGGUAAUACGUAGGGGGCUAGCGUUAUCCGGAUUUACUGGGCGUAAAGGGUGCGUAGGUGGUUUCUUAAGUCAGGAGUGAAAGGCUACGGCUCAACCGUAGUAAGCUCUUGAAACUGGGAAACUUGAGUGCAGGAGAGGAAAGUGGAAUUCCUAGUGUAGCGGUGAAAUGCGUAGAUAUUAGGAGGAACACCAGUAGCGAAGGCGGCUUUCUGGACUGUAACUGACACUGAGGCACGAAAGCGUGGGGAGCAAACAGGAUUAGAUACCCUGGUAGUCCACGCCGUAAACGAUGAGUACUAGGUGUCGGGGGUUACCCCCCUCGGUGCCGCAGCUAACGCAUUAAGUACUCCGCCUGGGGAGUACGCUCGCAAGAGUGAAGCUCAAAGGAAUUGACGGGGACCCGCACAAGUAGCGGAGCGUGUGGUUUAAUUCGAAGCAACGCGAAGAACCUUACCUAAGCUUGACACUCUUUUGACCGAUGCCUAAUCGCAUCUUUCCCUUCGGGGACAGAAGUGACAGGUGGUGCAUGGUUGUCGUCAGCUCGUGUCGUGAGAUGUUGGGUUAAGUCCCGCAACGAGCGCAACCCUUGCCUUUAGUUGCCAGCAUUAAGUUGGGCACUCUAGAGGGACUGCCAGGGAUAACCUGGAGGAAGGUGGGGAUGACGUCAAAUCAUCAUGCCCCUUAUGCUUAGGGCUACACACGUGCUACAAUGGGUGGUACAGAGGGCAGCCAAGUCGUGAGGCCGAGCUAAUCCCUUAAAGCCAUUCUCAGUUCGGAUUGUAGGCUGAAACUCGCCUACAUGAAGCUGGAGUUACUAGUAAUCGCAGAUCAGAAUGCUGCGGUGAAUGCGUUCCCGGGUCUUGUACACACCGCCCGUCACACCAUGGGAGUUGGGGGCGCCCGAAGCCGGUUAGCUAACCUUUUGGAAGCGGCCGUCGAAGGUGAAACCAAUAACUGGGGUGAAGUCGUAACAAGGUA